GCGGCAUUAGUGUAUUAUUUGUUUUCGUUACUUGUAUAUUUCCGCAUCAUGUUAGAUCUACAAUAAAAUUUGACUAUACCAGGGCGGGUCUGUUGAAACAAACAGUGUCGAAACAAUGCAAAGCGCAGGCGCUGUAUCGACCAUGCCUGAAGUUAGCAUUCCGCUAGUCUCUGGACGUCCGCUAUUAGAGAGAGGAGGUGGUGUAUAUCCUCCCCUUGGCCUACCAUCUCUUCCCGGCAACCAGCAGAGUACAUUGUCAUAUACGCAGCUGUGGAAAGAGAACAAUUACCUCCUAAGACGAAGUGCGACAUCUGCAGAUGGUGAUGUCAUGUCGCAAGGAGGAGGAGGAGGAGGAGGAAAAGGAAGCCUUCAGUUGAUGGAGAGGUUCAAACAGAUCAGGAUGCUUCAGCAACAGCAGCAGCAGCAUCUUCUUCAACAACAGCAACAGCACUUAGCGGCA